CCUACGGGAGGCUGCAGUGGGGAAUAUUGGUCAAUGGACGAGAGUCUGAACCAGCCAAGUAGCGUGAAUGAUGACUGCCCUAUGUGUUGUAAGCUUCAUUUAUAUGGGAGUAAAAUGUUCCACGUGUGGGAUUUUGUAUGUACCAUAUGAAUAAGGCUCGGCUAACUCCGUGCCAGCAGCCGCGGUAAUACGGAUGAUCCGAGCGUUAUCCGGAUUUAUUGGGUUUAAAGGGAGCGUAGAUGGAUUGUUAAGUCAGUUGUGAAAGUUUGUGGCUCAACCGUAAAAUUGCAGUUGAAACUGGCAGUCUUGAGUACAGUAGAGGUAGGCGGAAUGCGUGGUGUAGCGGUGAAAUGCGUAGAUAUUACGAAGAACUCCGAUUGCGAAGGCAGCUCACUGGACUGCAACUGACACUGAGGCUCGAAAGUGUGGGUAUCAAACAGGAUUAGAUACCCCAGUAGUC
rnacentral:rRNA from 1 species